GGGAAGCUGCUAAGAGCAUGGAUUUGCUUGGAGGCCCCAAUCUCGCCUGCUGGGGCCGCCUCCGAGGCGUCUGGGGGCUGCAGGGUCAUGGCGGAGGCGCUGCCCUCUCGCGAUGGGAGAUAGACAUUGCGCCGUGGGGACGCCGCUGCCUCCAUGCAGGUGCCGCUCCUACAGGCUUCCCUCCAGCUGGCCCUUUCUGCCAGGCCCUGGGACCACAGGCAGGGGCCCAUGAGGACAAAGUCACUCUUGCCACAAAUAGGCUCUGUUCACAGAGCGACAGGCACAGACGUCGGGCGGCAGGGUCCCUGGCGGCCCCCAGAGCCUGAGAGGAGCCUCUCCUCCGGGAGGCAGGAAGAGAAAAACAGCCGAGCGGCCACGCUGCCCCUUCCUCCCAGAAGAGGAUGUGGCAGGAAGCAAGAGCGGUGCCAGGGGGGAGCUCGAGCCAUCUCUGUGGGCUGAACCGGGACCCCCAGAUGCCCAUGUUGAAGUCCUAACCCCAGGACCUCGGCAAGUGACUGCGUUCGGAGACGGGGCCUUCAAAGGUGUCGUUACGGUAAAGCAAGCAUGGGAGACCAGAGGGAACCCGACAUGAAGAUGUGGGAGAAGAUGGCGACUUAGACGCCAGGAGAGGGGCCCUGGGACGGGUCCUUCCUUGCAGCCUCAGAAGGAGCCAGCCCUGCCCGCACCUUGAUCUGGGACUUCUGGCCUCCAGAACUGUGGGAGGAUGCACAUCUGCCAGUCCAGCCCCCAUCUGUGUGCUCUGUCUUGGGAGCAUGGGAAAGCAGCAGGAGCACUUCUCAGCUUACAGUGCAGGUCCGUCCUGAUGAACCCGGGGCAAGCUCGUGACAUCACUAAGUGGAGACUUCACUGACUGCACCUAACCUAGCGACCAUCACAGCUCAGCCCGGCCUACUGGAAACAUGCUCAGAACACCUACACCAGCCUACAGCUGGGCACACACAUCUAACGCAAAGCCUGUUUUAUAAUACAAUGUUGACUGUCUCACGUAAGAGUACUGUACCGCAGAUUGCUAGCCCAGAGAAAGAUGGAAAUUCAAAAUUCAAA